CACGUAGGGCGCAAGCGUUGUCCGGAAUUAUUGGGCGUAAAGAGCUCGUAGGCGGUCUGUUGCGUCCGCUGUGAAAACUCGGGGCUUAACCCCGAGCCUGCAGUGGAUACGGGCAGACUAGAGGUAGGUAGGGGAGAAUGGAAUUCCCGGUGUAGCGGUGAAAUGCGCAGAUAUCGGGAGGAACACCGGUGGCGAAGGCGGUCUGCUGGGCCAAGACUGACGCUGAGGCGCGACAGCGUGGGGAGCAAACAGG
rnacentral:rRNA from 1 species